rnacentral:rRNA from 1 species
CCCUUAGAUGUUCUGGGCCGCACGCGCGCUACACUGACGAAUGCAACGAGCUUAUAACCUUGGCCGAAAGGUCUGGGUAAUCUCCAAAUUUCGUCGUGAUGGGGAUAGAUUAUUGCAAUUAUUAAUCUUCAACGAGGAAUGCCUAGUAAGCGCAAGUCAUCAGCUUGCAUUGAUUACGUCCCUGCCCUUUGUACACACCGCCCGUCGCUCCUACCGAUUGAAUGAUCCGAUGAAUAUCAUGGAUUGAGGAUGCAAGUAGGUUAGCCUAUCUUCAUCUUCGAGAAGUGAAGUAAAUCUUAUCAUUUAGAGGAAGGAGAAGUCGUAACA